CAGUGGCUGUCCAGGUCUUUCACAGCCACAGCCAUGAAGUGUGCGAAUAUCCUGCUGGCCACGCUGGGGCUCCUUGUUCAGGGUUCAUCAGGAGAAAUCGUCCUGACUCAGACUCCUGGAUCUCAGUCUGUUGUUCCAGGACAGACUGUCUCUAUCAGGUGUAAAGCCAGCACACUUAUAGGUGAUGACAUGAACUGGUACCUGCAGAAACCUGGAGAAGCUCCUAAACUCCUGAUUUAUGAUACUACAGCACGUCAGUCUGGAGUUCCAGAUCGUUUUAGUGCGACUGCACAUCAGACUGACUUCACGUUGACCAUCAGAGCGGUUCAGACUGAAGAUGGAGGAGUUUAUCACUGUCAGCAGCGUAACAGCUUCCCGUUCACACAGUGAUACAACGUCGUACAAAAACCUCCCUCAGCUGAAGAGGAACUGAUCUGACUCAUCAGCUGCACAGAACCUCACACAUGAAGUAAAAAGAGCCAAAGUAUUUGUCACAGUUACACCAAACAUUUAAACUGUUGAUAUUUUACACACUACAAUAAAACCUUUAAUAAGA